UACGAAGGGGGCUAGCGUUGUUCGGAAUUACUGGGCGUAAAGCGCGCGCAGGCGGCUAUCCAAGUCAGUGGUGAAAGCCCGGAGCUCAACUCCGGAACUGCCAUUGAAACUGUUUAGCUUGAGUAUGAGAGAGGUGAGUGGAAUUCCCAGUGUAGAGGUGAAAUUCGUAGAUAUUGGGAAGAACACCGGUGGCGAAGGCGGCUCACUGGCUCAUUACUGACGCUCAGGCGCGACAGCGUGGGGAUCAAACAGG
rnacentral:rRNA from 1 species